rnacentral:rRNA from 1 species
AGCCUGCCCAGUGACAAAGUUCAACGGCCGCGGUACCCUAACCGUGCGAAGGUAGCAUAAUCACUUGUUCUUUAAAUGAGGACUCGUAUCAACGGCACUACGAGGGCUAUACUGUCUCCUUUUUCUAAUCAGUGAAACUGAUCUCCCCGUGAAGAAGCGGGGAUCAAAAUAUAAGACGAGAAGACCCCAUGGAGCUUUAAACUCACUAUACACCUCUGUGCCUUUAUGCCACUAGACACAAGAAAUCUGCGUACUAGUUUUAGGUUGGGGGGACCACGGAGUAUAAUUUAACCUCCAUAACAAAUGGGCUAACACCCUUAUCUACGAGACACAACUCUAAGAAUUACUAAACUAAUGCUUAUGACCCGAUAUUCGAUCAAUGAACCAAGUUACCCUGGGGAUAACAGCGCAAUCUACUUCAAGAGCCCAUAUCGACAAGUGGGUUUACGACCUCGAUGUUGGAUCAGGGUAUCCCGGUGGUGCAGCCGCUACCGACGGUUCGUUUGUUCAACGAUUAAAACCCUACGUGAUCU